GACGUAGAAUGCAAGCGUUGUCCGGAUUUAUUGGGCGUAAAGAGUUCGUAGGUGGUUUGUUAAGUUUGGUGUUAAAGAUUGGGGCUCAACCCUGAAACUGCACUGAAUACUGGCAGACUCGAGUGUGGUAGAGGCUAGUGGAAUUCCCAGUGUAGCGGUGAAAUGCGUAGAUAUUCGGAAGAACACCAGUGGCGAAGGCGACUCGCUGGACAGGUAUUGACGCUGAGGUGCGAAAGCGUGGGGAGCAAACAGGAUUAGAUACCCGUGUAGU
rnacentral:rRNA from 1 species